rnacentral:misc_RNA from 1 species
UUUCCGUAGGUGAACCUGCGGAAGGAUCAUUCAUAAUAAGUGUUUUAUGGCACUUUUUUAAAUCCAUAUCCACCUUGUGUGCAAUGUCAGGGUUGGUCUCUUUUUGAUCAGCCCCAAACAUCAACUAUUAUCUCAACUCUUUGUCUGAAAAAUAUUAUGAAUAAAACAAUUCAAGAUACAACUUUCAACAACGGAUCUCUUGGCUCUC